rnacentral:rRNA from 1 species
GAUGAACGCUGGCGGCGUGCCUAAUACAUGCAAGUCGAGCGAACAGACGAGGAGCUUGCUCCUCUGACGUUAGCGGCGGACGGGUGAGUAACACGUGGAUAACCUACCUAUAAGACUGGGAUAACUUCGGGAAACCGGAGCUAAUACCGGAUAAUAUAUUGAACCGCAUGGUUCAAUAGUGAAAGACGGUUUUGCCGUCACUUAUAGAUGGAUCCGCGCCGCAUUAGCUAGUCGGUAAGGUAACGGCUUACCAAGGCAACGAUGCGUAGCCGACCUGAGAGGGUGAUCGGCCACACUGGAACUGAGACACGGUCCAGACUCCUACGGGAGGCAGCAGUAGGGAAUCUUCCGCAAUGGGCGAAAGCCUGACGGAGCAACGCCGCGUGAGUGAUGAAGGUCUUCGGAUCGUAAAACUCUGUUAUUAGGGAAGAACAAAUGUGUAAGUAACUAUGCACGUCUUGACGGUACCUAAUCAGAAAGCCACGGCUAACUACGU